GAGUUUGAUCAUGGCUCAGAUUGAACGCUGGCGGCAGGCCUAACACAUGCAAGUCGAACGGUAACAGGAAACAGCUUGCUGUUUCGCUGACGAGUGGCGGACGGGUGAGUAAUGUCUGGGAAACUGCCUGAUGGAGGGGGAUAACUACUGGAAACGGUAGCUAAUACCGCAUAACGUCGCAAGACCAAAGAGGGGGACCCUCGGGCCUCUUGCCAUCGGAUGUGCCCAGAUGGGAUUAGCUUGUUGGUGGGGUAACGGCUCACCAAGGCGACGAUCCCUAGCUGGUCUGAGAGGAUGACCAGCCACACUGGAACUGAGACACGGUCCAGACUCCUACGGGAGGCAGCAGUGGGGAAUAUUGCACAAUGGGCGCAAGCCUGAUGCAGCCAUGCCGCGUGUAUGAAGAAGGCCUUCGGGUUGUAAAGUACUUUCAGCGGGGAGGAAGGGAGUAAAGUUAAUACCUUUGCUCAUUGACGUUACCCGCAGAAGAAGCACCGGCUAACUCCGUGCCAGCAGCCGCGGUAAUACGGAGGGUGCAAGCGUUAAUCGGAAUUACUGGGCGUAAAGCGCACGCAGGCGGUUUGUUAAGUCAGAUGUGAAAUCCCCGGGCUCAACCUGGGAACUGCAUCUGAUACUGGCAAGCUUGAGUCUCGUAGAGGGGGGUAGAAUUCCAGGUGUAGCGGUGAAAUGCGUAGAGAUCUGGAGGAAUACCGGUGGCGAAGGCGGCCCCCUGGACGAAGACUGACGCUCAGGUGCGAAAGCGUGGGGAGCAAACAGGAUUAGAUACCCUGGUAGUCCACGCCGUAAACGAUGUCGACUUGGAGGUUGUGCCCUUGAGGCGUGGCUUCCGGAGCUAACGCGUUAAGUCGACCGCCUGGGGAGUACGGCCGCAAGGUUAAAACUCAAAUGAAUUGACGGGGGCCCGCACAAGCGGUGGAGCAUGUGGUUUAAUUCGAUGCAACGCGAAGAACCUUACCUGGUCUUGACAUCCACGGAAGUUUUCAGAGAUGAGAAUGUGCCUUCGGGAACCGUGAGACAGGUGCUGCAUGGCUGUCGUCAGCUCGUGUUGUGAAAUGUUGGGUUAAGUCCCGCAACGAGCGCAACCCUUAUCCUUUGUUGCCAGCGGUCCGGCCGGGAACUCAAAGGAGACUGCCAGUGAUAAACUGGAGGAAGGUGGGGAUGACUCAAGUCAUCAUGGCCCUUACGACCAGGGCUACACACGUGCUACAAUGGCGCAUACAAAGAGAAGCGACCUCGCGAGAGCAAGCGGACCUCAUAAAGUGCGUCGUAGUCCGGAUUGGAGUCUGCAACUCGACUCCAUGAAGUCGGAAUCGCUAGUAAUCGUGGAUCAGAAUGCCACGGUGAAUACGUUCCCGGGCCUUGUACACACCGCCCGUCACACCAUGGGAGUGGGUUGCAAAAGAAGUAGGUAGCUUAACCUUCGGGAGGGCGCUUACCACUUUGUGAUUCAUGACUGGGGUGAAGUCGGAACAAGGUA
rnacentral:rRNA from 1 species